rnacentral:snRNA from 1 species
GCGCUCGCUUCGGCAGCACAUAUACUAAAAUUGAAACGAUACAGAGAAGAUUAGCAUGGC